AGACUAAGUCGAGUGAAUACUAAGGAAAUAAAAAUAUACGCCGGUGCAGUGUGGUCAUCCUACAGUCGAAUAUUCUCUUUUUUUUCUAAUGUCUUUUUACUAAGCUUGCAUUAGUACGUGUACCAGGUCCAGGUGUGCACCUGGGUAUGUUACUAAGCUAAUUUAUCCUCCACGUGCCCUCUCCCUUUCUCUAAACUAAACCUAUCUCUCUCUUCCCUGUACUAGUUCUGUACUAGUAGUUAUCAACCGAACAGAGCACCCACUAGUACUAUUAGUCCAGGAAGAACACAAGUAAUAGUACAGACUGAUGCUCCUCUGCUCCUUCCCCAGAUCGGCGCCGCCGCCAGCGACGGGAAAGAUGCCGCUGCUAGAUCCUCCACACUCUCUCUCCCCUGAUGUGAUUCCCCAUAUUAUCCCCAUGAAUUUCAGCCUCAACUCUCUAAUCCCCCUCUGUGUGUGUGUGUUCUUUUUGGCUUGCAGGUCAAACCCUAUUGGGGAUGUGAUUUCCCUGCUCCGGAUUGAAGUGGUCGGUGUUGGGCGUCGCCGUAAUGCUGGAUGGUGCAGGUUAGAGCUCCAGUGCGUGGCCAUGGAGCAGAUCGAACAUAUGUGCAGGGGAAUGCUAGUGUUGCUGGGAAGAAGAGGGCUUGGUCUGGCUAUUUUGGGUAGAGCUGAGACGAGUGAAACUUGGCAGUUGCUUACUCUGCUCUCCUUGCCAUCUAAUAUCUGAUAUCCACCUC